rnacentral:rRNA from 1 species
GACGAACCGUGCGAACGUUGUUCGGAAUCACUGGGCUUAAAGGGCGCGUAGGCGGAUGGCACAGUCAGAUGUGAAAUUCCCGGGCUUAACCUGGGGGCUGCAUUUGAUACGUGUUGUCUUGAGUUCGGAAGAGGGUCGUGGAAUUCCCAGUGUAGAGGUGAAAUUCGUAGAUAUUGGGAAGAACACCGGUGGCGAAGGCGGCGACCUGGUCCGACACUGACGCUGAGGCGCGAAAGCGUGGGGAGCAAACAGG